rnacentral:misc_RNA from 1 species
GAUGAAGAACGUAGCGAAAUGCGAUAAGUAAUGUGAAUUGCAGAAUUCAGUGAAUCAUCGAAUCUUUGAACGCACAUUGCGCCCUCUGGUAUUCCGGGGGGCAUGCCUGUUCGAGCGUCAUUAUAACCACUCAAGCUCUCGCUUGGUAUUGGGGCCUGCUGCACUGGCAGCCCUUAAAAUCAGUGGCGGCGCCAUCUGGCUCUAAGCGUAGUAAUUCUUCUCGCUAUGGAGUCCUGGUGGAUGCUUGCCAUCAACCCCCAAUUUUUCUAUGGUUGACCUCGGAUCAGGUAGGGAUACCCGCUGAACUUAAGCAUAUCAAUAAGCGGAGGA